rnacentral:rRNA from 1 species
CCCCUAGUAGCGGCGAGCGAAGGGGGAAGAGCUCAAAUUUAUAAUCUGGCGCUUUCAGCGUCCGAGUUGUAAUCUCUAGAAGUGUUUUCCGCGUUGGACCGCACAUAAGUCUGUUGGAAUACAGCGGCACAGUGGUGAGACCCCCGUUCACGGUGCGGAUGCCCAAUGCUUUGUGAUACACUUUCGAAGAGUCGAGUUGUUUGGGAAUGCAGCUCAAAUUGGGUGGUAAAUUCCAUCUAAAGCUAAAUAUUGGCGAGAGACCGAUAGCGAACAAGUACCGUGAGGGAAAGAUGAAAAGCACUUUGGAAAGAGAGUUAACAGUACGUGAAAUUGUUGGAAGGGAAACGCUUGAAGUCAGACUUGCUAUUCGGGGCUUGCUCCGAGUUGCAGGCCAGCAUCAGUUUUUCGGGGCGGAAAAUCACGGAUUGAAGGUAGCAGUUUCGGCUGUGUUAUAGCUUUCCGUUGGAUACGUCCUGGGGGACUGAGGAACGCAGUGUGCUUUUAGCGAGGCUUCGGCUCUUCACAC